GAUGAACGCUGGCGGCGUGCCUAACACAUGCAAGUCGAACGGAAAGGCUCCUGCUUGCAGGGGCAGUCGAGUGGCGAAGGGGGGAGUAACACGUGGGUGAAACGUACUUCACUUAGGGGUAUGACUGGGGGAAUGGGUCUCAUAUAGGGUAGGACGUAGGGUAGCAUGUGGUUCUGGAGAGAUUUUUGGUUGUGGGAUGAGUUAGCGGCGUAUCAGCUUGUUGGUGGGGUAUUGGCAUACCAAGGCGUCGACAGGUAGACGACCCGGGAGGGUCGACGGCCACAUUGGUACUGAGAUACGGCCCAGACGCCAACGGUAGGCAACAGUGGAGAAUAUUGCACAAUAGGCGCAAGCCUGAUGCAGCGACGCCGCGUGGGGGAUGACGUCCUUCGGGGUGUAAACUACUUUCUCUGGAGACGAGCCGCUAGUGACGGUACCUGGAGAAGAAGCCCCGGCUAACUACGUG
rnacentral:rRNA from 1 species